UUUUAUGAAUGUAUUGCCUAAUACAAAACUCUUUCCUUGGUUGGAAAAGCAUAAUCUUCUAUUUUUAUCAUUUGCCGUUGUCAAUAACUUUUGCUGUUAUAUUUAGUUCGGUUACUGACAUAGCCAGUAAAAUGUGGAAAGUCUGAAGAAAGGAAGACCCUGCAAAAUGAUUUGAAUGAACAUGAUGACGUCAGCAUUGAAGAAACCUCAUUCUGUAAUUAUUCUUUCUUCUAAGUAGUAGCUGCCUUAAUAGAGGGGACAUGAAUGUUGAGUGUACUUGGCAGGAUUUUUAAAAUAAAUUUGCUUACUAUCUCUCAUCUUUAAUUUGGUGAGAGAAAAAGUUGAUUACAUAGAUGAAGACAAACUGGAAGAAAGCAAACCCACUGCCAGCUACCUCGGUAAGAUCUCUGAUUGUUCAGAGGCUCCUGGAAUACCAGUAGAUGUCCUCGAAACCAAGCCAUAAGAUACGUAAAGUCCUGGUUACUCAAAGACCAUUGUUUGUUUUCCUUUUCCUUUUGCUUUCACCAAAGGAUUGAUGUUCUCCUCACCUUUUUUUUCUCUUAAAGAAAUGGGAUCUACCUCUGUUACCCAGGGUGGAGUGCAGUGGCACAAUCAUAGCGCCUUUGAGCCUCAAACUUACGGGCUCAAAUGAUCCUCGCACCUUGGCCUCCUCUCCUCACUGUUACCAGUUCAUUCAUGGGGAAAAUAUGUAGGGAGAUGAUCUGUUCUAUUACCUUGUCUUUCCUUAUUUAUUGACCUUUAUAUAUGUGUGUUUUAUGUAUGUUUAUCAUUGAUUUCUUCUAUCAAAUUGUACAUUUGGUAGAGUGUAUAAUUGUGUAAUGUUCUGUCACACAUUUAUACCGUUUCCAUAUUGGUUCAUGUUAUAGCUUGUGCUUCCCCAGAAUAUCUCCUUGAGGAGGUGGGAAUGGAAGAUAAACGAUAUGCUCUAAGGCGUUGGUUUGUAAGCCUGGCCAGUCAUCAGAAUCGCAUCAGGUGCUGUAGAGAACCGCAGGCUCCUGACUUGUCCUAUCCCCAACCCCAGAUCCAGGGGGGUUGAGGUGGGUCUAGGAAUCUAUGUACAUAUAUAUUCAAAGCUUCCCAAGUGAUUGCAGUAAUCAGCACACUUAGGAACUAUUCUUUUCAAAUGUUUUUAGAGGAAACUUGUCAGUUUAUGUUUUAUUCUAAUGGUCCACCUGGGAUUCUAAAAUUUAUGUAUGGAAAAAAUUGCUUAUGAGCAGUAACUUUUUUUGGAAUGUCCAGCUUUAGAGUUUGAAAAUUAAGUCUGAAAUAUCUAAAAUGAGAAUCAGUUAAAAAUUACUUGUGUUUAUCUAAACAAAUAAUCAGCUGGGUAAAAAAAUACUGCAUCUGAAUGUGUUAAAAAGAGACAAAGCAUUUUUUGAUGAUUAAUUACAUUGAAAGUUCUAGUCAGCUUUAUUCCAAAACUGGUAUUUGUUACUUCUUAAACUAGUUUUGGUAAUUUCCGAUUUCCUUCCUGGAAGUUGAUGUAUUUCUGAAAAUUUACAAUUUAGUAGCAUAAAAUUGUUUUGAAUCUCUUGUUUCACUUCCAUAUUUAAAUAUAAAUGUAUAUCUACCACAUACACACAUACACACACACGCACAGGCACACACACACGCACACCCUCCCUGACCCUUAAUUGGGUUUGCCAGUGAUUUACCAUCCAAAGACCCAGCCCCAGCUUUUAUGUGAUUUAUCACUUAGUAAAUAUGAUUUUGGGGUUGUAUUCACUAAGUUCUGUGUUUAACAUUGUUUCCUUUGAAAAUACAUUGGUUUUUGCUUAUUGUUCUUUAGAUUCAAGAUUGUGAAUUUGUGAGUUCAGCUUUGGGCGUAUCCCAGUGUUUUCAGUACUAGUUUAGUUUUUGGGGUUUUUUUGUUUCUAAUUAUUAUUUUUGGCAUUUCCUUAUCAAUAUAAGAGUUUUUAAAAUUCAAGUGUUUUGAUUCAUUUUAUCUAAUUUUUGGUUAUAAUUUCUUGGUUUCUUUGUGUUGUGGUCACAUAAUGUGGGUUUUAUACACAUUUUCUCUGUGUUUUGGGGAUUUGCUUAUUUUUCUUUGUGGUCUUGCAAGAUUUUCUGUGAAAAGAAAAACUGUGUUAAAGUUCAUCAUUUUUAUCAAUCAGUCUGACCAUUGUCAUGGAGUUGUUUAGAUUCAUUUGGUUAAAACAGAGCUAAGUAUUUUAAACAUUUAGAAUACUAAGUUAAACAGGCUUGAAAACUAACUUGAGUAAAAGCAAUUAAGAAAAUCAACAUUAGACUGGGCGUUGGUGGCUCAUGUGACCUUGGAGGCUCCACUGUGCUCCAGCUGGGGCGACAGAGUGAGACUCUGUCUCUUUUCUUUUUUUUUUAAAAAAAAAAAAAAAAAAAAAAA